GAUGAACGCUAGCUACAGGCUUAACACAUGCAAGUCGAGGGACCGGCGCACGGGUGAGUAACACGUAUCCAACCUGCCCUUUACUCGGAGAUAUCCUUUCGAAAGAAAGAUUAAUACCCGAUGUAAAGGAUGGGGAUGCUUUCCAUUAGGUUGUUGGUGAGGUAACGGCUCACCAAGCCUUCGAUGGAUAGGGGUUCUGAGAGGAAGGUCCACCACAGUGGAACUAAGACCCGGUCCAAACUGCUACGUGAGGCAGCAGUGAGGAAUAUUGGUCAAUGGGCGUUGGCCUGAACCAGCCAAGUGUCGUGAAGAAUGAAGGCUUAUGGGUCGUAAACUUCUUUUAUAUAAGAAUAUGUAUUAUAUGAAUAAGGAUCGGCUAACUCCGUGCCAGCAGCCGCGGUAAUAC
rnacentral:rRNA from 1 species